UACGUAGGGUGCAGGCGCUAAUCGGAAUUACUGGGCGUAAAGCGUGCGCAGGCGGUCUUUUAAGUCAGAUGUGAAAUCCCCGGGCUUAACCUGGGAACUGCGUUUGAAACUGGAAGGCUAGAGUGUGGCAGAGGGGGGUGGAAUUCCACGUGUAGCAGUGAAAUGCGUAGAUAUGUGGAGGAACACCGAUGGCGAAGGCAGCCCCCUGGGCUAACACUGACGCUCAUGCACGAAAGCGUGGGGAGCAAACAGG
rnacentral:rRNA from 1 species